GACGUAGGAGGCGAGCGUUGUCCGGAUUCAUUGGGCGUAAAGAGCGCGCAGGCGGCUUGGUAAGUCGGAUGUGAAAUCCCGAGGCUCAACCUCGGGUCUGCAUCCGAUACUGCCCGGCUAGAGGUAGGUAGGGGAGAUCGGAAUUCCUGGUGUAGCGGUGAAAUGCGCAGAUAUCAGGAGGAACACCAGUGGCGAAGGCGGCUUGCUGGGCCAGUUCUGACGCUGGAGGAGCGAAAGCGUGGGGAGCGAACAGG
rnacentral:rRNA from 1 species